rnacentral:rRNA from 1 species
UGAAUACGAGAUGCUACGGCGUCGAAGCAGUCUAUGUCAUACUUCCAAGAAAAGCUUGCACUGUCAUAAACAAAUAAUGCCUGUACCAUAACCGACACAGGUGGGUAGGUAGAGUAUACUAAGGGGCGCGAGAUAACUCUCUCUAAGGAACUCGGCAAAAUGACUCCGUAACUUCGGGAGAAGGAGUGCCUUAUUUUAUAAGGUUGCAAUAACAAGAUCCAAGCAACUGUUUACCAAAAACACAGGUCUCCGCUAAGUCGUAAGACGAUGUAUGGGGGCUGACGCCUGCCCAAUGCCAGAAGGUUAAAGAAGUUGGUUAGCAUCCGCGAAGCUGAUAACUGAAGCCCUGGUGAACGGCGGCCGUAACAAUAACGGUCCUAAGGUAGCGAAAUUCCUUGUCGGGUAAGUUCCGACCCGCACGAAAGGCGUAAUGAUUUGGAUACUGUCUCAGAGAGGGGCUCGGUGAAAUAGACUUGUCUGUGAAGAUGCGGACUACCUGCACCAGGACAGAAAGACCCUAUGAAGCUUUACUGUAACUUGAGAUUGAAAUUGGACUUUACUUGCGCAGUAUAGGUGGGAGGCGUUGAGAAUAUUCUUGCGGGAAUGUUGGAGCCAUCAGUGAGAUACCACUCUUGUAAUGUUAGAUUUCUAACUUUGUAUCAUUAUCUGGUCAAAGGACAGUUUCAGGCGGGCAGUUUGACUGGGGCGGUCGCCUCCCAAACGGUAACGGAGGCGCACAAAGGUUUCCUCUGAACGGGUAGAAAUCGUAUCUAGAGUGUAAAGGCAUAAGGAAGCUUGACUGUGAGACCUACAAGUCGAGCAGGGACGAAAGUCGGUCUUAGUGAUCUGACGGUGCUGAGUGGAAAGGCCGUCACUCAACGGAUAAAAGUUACUCUAGGAUAACAGGCUGAUCUCCCCCAAGAGUUCACAUCGACGGGGAGGUUUGGCACCUCGAUGUCGGCUCAUCGCAUCCUGGGGCGGUAGUACGUCCCAAGGGUUGGGCUGUUCGCCCAUGAAAGCGGUACGCGAGCUGGGUUCAGAACGUCGUGAGACAGUUCGGUCCAUAUCCGGUGUAGGCGUUAGAAUAUUGAGAGGAGCCUUCUUUAGUACGAGAGGACCGAGAAGGACAUACCUCUGGUGUACCAGUUAUCGUGCCAACGGUAAACGCUGGGUAGCUAUGUAUGGAGUGGAUAACCGCUGAAAGCAUCUAAGUGGGAAGCCCACCUCAAGAUAAGUAUUCUC